rnacentral:rRNA from 1 species
GCAGUCGAGGGGUAUAGUUCUUCGGAACUAGAGACCGGCGCACGGGUGCGUAACGCGUAUGCAAUCUACCUUUUACAGAGGGAUAGCCCAGAGAAAUUUGGAUUAAUACCUCAUAGUAUGUGAGAAUCGCAUGGUUUUCACAUUAAAGUUUCAACGGUAAAAGAUGAGCAUGCGUCCCAUUAGCUAGAUGGUAAGGUAACGGCUUACCAUGGCGACGAUGGGUAGGGGUCCUGAGAGGGAGAUCCCCCACACUGGUACUGAGACACGGACCAGACUCCUACGGGAGGCAGCAGUGAGGAAUAUUGGACAAUGGGCGCAAGCCUGAUCCAGCCAUGCCGCGUGCAGGAUGACGGUCCUAUGGAUUGUAAACUGCUUUUGUACAGGAAGAAACACUCCCUCGUGAGGGAGCUUGACGGUACUGUAAGAAUAAGGAUCGGCUAACUCCGUGCCAGCAGCCGCGGUAAUACGGAGGAUCCAAGCGUUAUCCGGAAUCAUUGGGUUUAAAGGGUCCGUAGGUGGUUUAAUAAGUCAGUGGUGAAAGCCCAUCGCUCAACGGUGGAACGGCCAUUGAUACUGUUAAACUUGAAUUAUUAGGAAGUAACUAGAAUAUGUAGUGUAGCGGUGAAAUGCUUAGAGAUUACAUGGAAUACCAAUUGCGAAGGCAGGUUACUACUAAUGGAUUGACGCUGAUGGACGAAAGCGUGGGUAGCGAACAGGAUUAGAUACCCUGGUAGUCCACGCCGUAAACGAUGGAUACUAGCUGUU